UUUAUAUGAACAUGUAUUGCAAUGUGAAACAUGUAUUUCUAGAUGAAACACUGACUAAGUUUGGUGAAAAAGUGAUUUUGUGUGUUAUACUUAGUCAAUUAAAAAUGUGCUUAAGAGUUUUGAAACAACUGCCUUUUGAUGAUCUGUUUUGAGUUUUGUACAAAGCGUUGUGAAAAUGUACCAAAUACUUGUGAAAAUUGCACCAAAGCAAAAAAAAUUAACUGCCAUUUAAUUUAUGUAAUUCACAAAUGCCCAUUCUCUCACUUCAAUGGGCGAAUCUGUCUGCACUGGUUCAUGGCAAAGCGGUCGUGUUAGAAUGACGCAAUCUGUCGGAAGACAAUGGCAAAUGGCUUUGUCUGGGUUAUGCCAAAUGAACUGCAGAUGAGUUUCCAUGGCUCCCUUUCAUGUACGGGUUGAAGCAAAACUUGCCGACAUAAUCUCUGGGCAAAGAGUUGACCAGAUUAAGAGAUUAAUCAGGUGUGUCAUCUGUCAGCAGCCUCAAAUCUGUGGUUUAAAACAAGGAUUGUGUGUGUGUGUGUGUGCGUGUGUGUGUGUGUGCGUGUGUUUGGAGAGCAAGUUUAAGGAGUUUCACGGCAGACAGAAGCACUUGGAAAGCAUGAGGCCAGCUGGUGAAAACAGCUGUCCAUCAAACUGGUGGUUUACAGUAUUUAGCUGACCUGCCAAAUACGUGACCCUCUUGAAAACAGCCAAAGAAGUACUGGCGCAAUUAAACCUACCACACUGUAGAAGAGGGUGUGUGUGGUUCAAUGGACAGUGGCAACUACAUCUGCCAUACUGCAUUGAUCUGUGAUUGUAGGUCAGUAAAACCAGUUAAUUUAUCUCAAAGAGCAAACCCCCCAAAAGUUACAUAAUUUAGAAUAACAUAAUUUAUCACUAUAAAAAAUCUGCUAAGUAUGUGAGGUGAUUGUAUACAUAAAUAAUGUAUGAUAAAGUCAAAGAGGAUGGAAUGUUUAUUUCAUCAUAAAUAAAAACACAAGAAUCUACUGAUAUUGUUGUAAAAAUCUACUUGGGAGUUUCACAGUGUUGACACAGUCACUUGGAGAAUAAAGGAUUAUUUGUCAGAAUGUUCAGUAAUCACAGGGAAAUAUUUACAUUCAAAACAGUACGCGUCACGACAACAGAACCUGACUGACGAGGUCUCUGUGGCACUUUUCUACUUAGCUGAGGCAUUUAAGAGAUAAUACAUAUUUAAAGACUACCUUUACACACUUUUCAAAAGGGCUAUUGUUAUUAACAAUUAUGUUAUUAUUAUAGUUAUUCACCACACACACUGCAUUUCUUUGUUUUUCAAUGUAACUUCACCAAGUUGUUGUCAACAGUAAAAUGUUAUACAUUCAAAUUUAUAAAAUGAGUGUAGUACACUCUUGAAGGACAAGCACGUCCCAAAUUGACUCUAAAAGUAAGUAUAAUGAAAAACACAGCAGACUUCUCUCUCCUUAUUGGUACAAUGAUUCACAAUGAAUCACUGCUUUGGUUGAUGCCACAUUGAUACAUAUUUAGUAUAGUUAAGGGCUGUGAGAGAAAAUGUUUGGUAUUGAUGAACAUCUUCUUCACUUAUUGAUAUUCUCUAUUAUAAUCAACUACAGAAAUGACUGAAAGACCAGGAAGUAACAUAAUGAUGAAUUCUGCAAGAGUGGCAGGUGUUUCGGAAGAUUUCAUAAUAACCAUCUCAAUCAGUACAUCACGGCCAUUGUGAGAGCCCUUCAGGUACACAUCAUCCUGUGACAGGGGCCCGUCGUAAGCCUCCAUGUAAAGACUGCUAGUGCUACUGCCA